rnacentral:tRNA from 1 species
AGAGAAUUAGUUAAUUAUAAUAUAACAUAAAUAUGUCAAAUUUAAAUAGCUAUCGAAAUAGUAUUUUCUU